UACAUAGGGUGCGAGCGUUAAUCGGAAUUACUGGGCGUAAAGCGCGCGUAGGCGGCUUUGCAAGUCGGGUGUGAAAUCCCCAGGCUUAACCUGGGAACUGCAUUCGAGACUGCAUUGCUAGAGUAUGGGAGAGGGAAGUGGAAUUUCCGGUGUAGCGGUGAAAUGCGUAGAUAUCGGAAGGAACAUCAGUGGCGAAGGCGACUUCCUGGACCAUUACUGACACUGAGGCACGAAAGCGUGGGGAGCGAACAGG
rnacentral:rRNA from 1 species